GAAAGGUGUUGGUGAAGGUGACUCAGUGAGCGGACGGCAUCACAGAAUGCAGGAAACUGUGGUAGUCUGGUGGUGGAGGGGGGCGGAGUACUAUGACACUAGCUGUAACCACAGCAACUCACAUUCAUCCUGGGCCUAGGACAGCACAGCAACAAUUCUAGACUCUUCAUGUGUUUUAGUUCAUGGAACCCUCACCAGAACCCUGAAGAGAACUUGACACUGGUACUCAAUAACUACUUGUUGAAUGAGCCAAUUGAUGGAUGGGAAAAAUCAACGGAAGCAGUAGUUCCCAAAGUGUCGUCUAGACCAGCAGCCUCAGCAUCACCAAGGAACUGGUCAGGAAAGCAAAUUCUCAGGCCGUACCCCAGGUCUACUGCAGCACAGAUACGACUCUCAAAGAAGGAAUACAGGUUACAAGAUUCACAGCCACUUCCUGUCCCUUGGAAUGGAAAAUGCCUGCAUGCCAACCUGAGCCCAACUCACUUUUCAGCUCGAGGCACUUCCUGACAUCCUUACAUCCAGCUGGAAUCCCCACUUCCCCCCAAUGUCUGCCACCCCCUCCCUGUUCCAUCAGGCCAAGGGAAGACACCACCAUCUAUCUACCCAGCUGCCCGGUUCAGAAAUGGCACCCAGAGGUCUCCUGCCCGUUUACCCGUGCGUUCCCAUCCUGAGGAUCCCAACUCCUUGUCUUCAGUUUCUUUAAUGCUGUCUUAAUUCUGGCCCUGAUCAUCUCCUUUGAAUGUAACAGCAUCCUAACUGGUCUCCCUGCUCCAAUCUCAACCUCCUGUAACUGCAUCUUAAGAU
rnacentral:lncRNA from 1 species